UGGAAUUUUGGAAAGAGAGUGCAGCCUGAAUCCCAUCCUGCUGUUUCUCAUCGGAGAGCUUGUCAACUUUUACUCAUUUUGACAGUAAAAAUU